UACGAAGGGGGCGAGCGUUGUUCGGAUUCACUGGGCGUAAAGGGUGCGCAGGUGGGUUGGCAAGUUCGAUGUGAAAGCCCCGGGCUUAACCCGGGAAUGGCAUUGAAAACUGUCGAUCUGGAGGAUUGGAGGGGGGACUGGAAUUCUUGGUGUAGCAGUGAAAUGCGUAGAUAUCAAGAGGAACACCAGUGGCGAAGGCGAGUCCCUGGACAAUACCUGACACUGAGGCACGAAAGCCAAGGGAGCAAACAGG
rnacentral:rRNA from 1 species